AGCAGCCGCGGUAAUUCCAGCUCCAAUAGCGUAUAUUAAAGUUGUUGCAGUUAAAAAGCUCGUAGUUGAAUUUCGAGAUCAGUACGCUGGUCGUGCUAUUGUACGUACUGGUAUUAUUGAUUCCUACCUUCUGACGAACCAUGAUGUCAUUAAUUUGGUGUCAUGGGGAAUCAGGACUGUUACUUUGAAAAAAU
rnacentral:rRNA from 1 species